GGUCCCUACGAGUCACUAGCUGUUGGGGCCUUCGGGCCUUAGUAGCGCAGCUAACGCGUGAAGUUGACCGCCUGGGGAGUACGGUCGCAAGAUUAAAACUCAAAGGAAUUGACGGGGACCCGCACAAGCGGUGGAUGAUGUGGAUUAAUUCGAUGCAACGCGAAAAACCUUACCUACCCUUGACAUGUCUGGAAUCCUUUAGAGAUAGAGGAGUGCUCGCAAGAGAACCGGAACACAGGUGCUGCAUGGCUGUCGUCAGCUCGUGUCGUGAGAUGUUGGGUUAAGUCCCGCAACGAGCGCAACCCUUGUCAUUAGUUGCUACGAAAGGGCACUCUAAUGAGACUGCCGGUGACAAACCGGAGGAAGGUGGGGAUGACGUCAAGUCCUCAUGGCCCUUAUGGGUAGGGCUUCACACGUCAUACAAUGGUCGGGACAGAGGGUCGCCAACCCGCGAGGGGGAGCCAAUCCCAGAAACCCGAUCGUAGUCCGGAUUGCACUCUGCAACUCGACUGCGUGAAGUCGGAAUCGCUAGUAAUCGUGGAUCAGAAUGCCGCGGUGAAUACGUUCCCGGGCCUUGUACACACCGCCCGUCACACCAUGGGAGUGGGUUGCACCAGAAGUAGCUAGUCUAACCUUUGGGAGGACGGUUACCACGGUGUGAUUCAUGACUGGGGUGAAGUCGUAACA
rnacentral:rRNA from 1 species